GUUGGCGUGCCAGAGUGGUUAUUGGGCAUGACUAGAAAUCAUGUGGGCUCUGCUUGUAGGUUCGAAUCCUACCACUAAUG